GACGAACGCUGGCGGCGUGCUUAACACAUGCAAGUCGAACGGAAAGGCCCUGCUUUUGUGGGGUGCUCGAGUGGCGAACGGGUGAGUAACACGUGAGUAACCUGCCCUUGACUUUGGGAUAACUUCAGGAAAAUGGGGCUAAUACCCGAUAGGAGCUCCUGCUGCAUGGUGGGGGUUGGAAAAUGUCGGCCGUUGGGGAUGGACUCGCGGCGUAUGCGCUUGUUGGUAGGGUAGUGGCUUACCAGGGCUAUGACGGAUAGCCUGCCUGAGAGGGUGACCGGCCACACGGGAGCGGGGAAACGGGCCAUAGUACUACGGGAGGGCGCAGGAGGGAAUCUUCCGCAAGGGGCGAAGGCCUGACGGAGCGCCGCCGCGUGAGUGAUGAAGGUCUUCGGAGCGGAAAACUCUGUUAUUAGGGAAGAACAUAUGUGUACGUAACUGUGCACAUCAUGACGGUACCUAAUCAGAAAGCCACGGCUAACUACGGG
rnacentral:rRNA from 1 species